ACGGGAGGCAGCAGUGGGGAAUAUUGGGCAAUGGACGAAAGUCUGACCCAGCGACGCCGCGUGAGGGAAGAAGGUCUUCGGAUUGUAAACCUUAGUCAACAGGGACGAAGCAAGUGACGGUACCUGUGGAGGAAGCCACGGCUAACUACGUGCCAGCAGCCGCGGUAAUACGUAGGUGGCGAGCGUUAUCCGGAAUUACUGGGUGUAAAGGGUGUGUAGGCGGGAAAGCAAGUCGGAUGUGAAAAUUAUGGGCUUAACCCAUAACCUGCGUCCGAAACUGUUUUUCUUGAGGAUCGGAGAGGUAAAUAGAAUUCCCGGUGUAGCGGUGAAAUGCGCAGAGAUCGGGAGGAAUACCGGUGGCGAAGGCGAUUUACUGGACGAUAACUGACGCUGAGACACGAAAGCGUGGGGAGCAAACAGGAUUAGAUACCCUGGUA
rnacentral:rRNA from 2 species